CGUGACGUCACUUUAACUAACUAAACGGCUACCAUUAUGGUAUGGGGGCAAACAAAGCGCUUGAAAAUGAAGAAAUGUGUUUUUGAUUGUUCAAUUAAUGUUAAUAGUCAUCCGAACUUGAUUUGUUAUAUUUUGCUUCCUGAUCCAAAGAGAAGAAAAUCGUGGCUUUAUGCUUUAUAUAAAACUGAUUCAUCUUGCAAAAACAAACUUUGGUCGCAAAACAUGUCUAAGUAUGCUCAAAACAUUUUGUAUCUGGAUUGUUCCUAGGUCAC
rnacentral:lncRNA from 1 species